rfam:Myotis brandtii contig154534, whole genome shotgun sequence.
GCCAGUGUGGCUCAGUGGACAGAGUGUUGGCCUGAGGACUGAAGGAUCCCCGGUUCGAUUCCGGUCAAUGGCA